CUCCAUGACCACUGGUGUAUCAGUGAUGACAGCAUCGCUGUAAGGUGACUCCAUGACCACUGGUGUGUCAGUGAUGACAGCAUCGCUGUAAGGUGACUCCAUGACCACUGGUGUGUCAGUGAUGACAGCAUCACUGUAAGGUGACUCCAUGACCACUGGUGUGUCAGUGAUGACAGCAUCGCUGUAAGGUGACUCCAUGACCACUGGUGUGUCAGUGAUGACAGCGAUGCUGUCAAGGUGACUCCAUGACCACUGGUGUGUCAGUGAUGACAGCAUCACUGUAAGGUGACUCCAUG